GUGGAUUAGAUACCCGGGUAGUCCUGGCUGUAAACGAUGUCGACUAGAUCGUAGUGGCUCUGACGCUAUUACGGUCGAAGCAAAAGUGCUAAGUCGACCGCCUGGGAAGUACGGUCGCAAGGCUAAAACUCAAAGGAAUUGACGGGGGCUCACACAAGCGGUGGAGCAUGUGGUUCAAUUCGAAGCAACGCGCAGAACCUUACCUGGGCUUGACAUGCCAGGAUUAUCCCCAUGAAAGUGGGGUAGGCCCUUCGGGGUACAACUGGUACAGGUGCUGCACGGCCGUCGCCAACU
rnacentral:rRNA from 1 species